GACGAACGCUGGCGGCGUGCUUAACACAUGCAAGUCGAACGAAGUGGCGAACGGGUGAGUAACGCGUAAUCAACCUGCCCUUCAGAGGGGGACAACAGUUGGCAACGACUGCUAAUACCGCAUACUGAAGGAGGGGAUUGCGUCUGAUUUGCAAGUUGUAGGGGUAACGGACCACCAAGGCGAAGAUCAGUAGCCGGUCGGAGAGGAGGAACGGCCACAUUGGGACUGAGACACGGCCCAGACUCCUACGGGAGGCAGCAGUGGGGAAUCUUCCGCAAUGGACGAAAGUCUGACGGAGCAACGCCGCGUGAGUGAUGACGGCCUUCGGGUUGUAAAGCUCUGUUAAUCGGGACGCGGUACCGGAAUAGAAAGCCACGGCUAACUACGUGCCAGCAGCCGCGGUAAUUC
rnacentral:rRNA from 1 species